rnacentral:rRNA from 1 species
UACAGAGGUCCCAAGCGUUGUUCGGAUUCACUGGGCGUAAAGGGUGCGUAGGUGGUGGGGUAAGUCGGAUGUGAAAUCUCCGAGCUCAACUCGGAAAUGGCAUUGGAAACUACCCUGCUAGAGGGUCGGAGGGGGGACUGGAAUGCUUGGUGUAGCAGUGAAAUGCGUAGAUAUCAAGCGGAACACCAGUGGCGAAGGCGAGUCCCUGGACGACUCCUGACACUGAGGCACGAAAGCUAGGGGAGCAAACGGG